GAUGAACGCUGGCGGCGUGCCUAAUACAUGCAAGUCGAGCGAACAGAUAAGGAGCUUGCUCCUUUGACGUUAGCGGCGGACGGGUGAGUAACACGUGGGUAACCUACCUAUAAGACUGGAAUAACUCCGGGAAACCGGGGCUAAUGCCGGAUAACAUUUAGAACCGCAUGGUUCUAAAGUGAAAGAUGGUUUUGCUAUCACUUAUAGAUGGACCCGCGCCGUAUUAGCUAGUUGGUAAGGUAACGGCUUACCAAGGCAACGAUACGUAGCCGACCUGAGAGGGUGAUCGGCCACACUGGAACUGAGACGCGGUCCAGACUCCUACGGGAGGCAGCAGUAGGGAAUCUUCCGCAAUGGGCGAAAGCCUGACGGAGCAACGCCGCGUGAGUGAUGAAGGUCUUCGGAUCGUAAAACUCUGUUAUUAGGGAAGAACAAAUGUGUAAGUAACUGUGCACGUCUUGACGGUACCUAAUCAGAAAGCCACGGCUAACUACGUG
rnacentral:rRNA from 1 species